rnacentral:misc_RNA from 1 species
AACCAUUCUCACCUGCGGCUAGACCUGCGGAGGGAUCAUUACAGAGUUGCAAAACUCCCUAAACCAUUGUGAACGUUACCUAAACCGUUGCUUCGGCGGGCGGCCCGGGUCCUUCCCGGCGCCCCUCGGCCCUCGCGGGCGCCCGCCGGAGGUAAACCAAACUAUUGCAUUGUAUGGCCUCUCUGAGUCUUCUGUACUGAAUAAGUCAAAACUUUCAGCAAUGGAUCUCAGAUCGGAAGA